UUCAAAAUCUGCAAAAUGGUCUUCUUUUUUUUUGGAAAUAAGAGGGAUCAUAAAAAUUGUUUUUAUUUAGUCCUGCCCUGAAUAAGCUAUUUCACAUAACAGAUGUUUACAUAUAGUCCACAAGACACAGUAAUAACUGAAUUUACACAAAUUUGGGUCAGUACUAAAUUAAAAAAAAUAAAUAAAUAAAACUGCAAUGUUUAUGAUCCUUCUUGUUUUGUUGUGUUUUUUUAAUUAUUAACAUUUUGCAGAUUCUUCAAGGCGUAUGUAAACUUAUUAUCUCAACUGUAAGUAAAGUAAUGAAGCACAAUUACUCAAGUAUUUUCCAACCCUGUGUAAUGUGUAUAUAGUGAACAUAGCCUAUGUAGUGAACGCUGUAUAAGGGUUCAUUUCUUCAGUAGUAUUUAAAGCUUGCUUAGAUCUUGCUGUUCCUUGUUUUAGGUGAAUACAGAGCUGAUUCUGGUAUUAACUUUGAUAUUUUUGAAGCCACUGGUUAUUAAUAGCUAUACUCUGUGUAACGGCUCAUGUCUCUGCAGUGGCUGCUCAGGCUGCUGGCUGUGUGAGCGCGCUCAGAUGUGACACCUCAGCAGGACAGACCUGUACAGCCAGGACUAUACAUACGUCAUCCACCUGGACCUGCGUUAUUUCUCUCUCGCUCUCACUCUCUCUCCAUUUCAUUUCAUUUACAUCACACUAUCUCUGGGCCUUGUUCCGAUCGCUUCCACCCACCCACCAACCCAUCCAUCCCUCCAUUACAUAGGUCAUAUGGGUCAUUCCUGAUUAUGGUCCAGACACACGCUCUCUGCUUUUGUGUUUUAAAAUAGAAGCAUAAUAAGGCCUAUGUUCUCUAUUACUAUAUUCUGUAUCAGCCAUUUUUAUUAUUACCAUUAACCAUUGUAUUAACUUUUUACUUAUCUGAUAUAUUGUCUGAUAUAUUGUCUGAUCUCACAAUUAUGUUUGGUUUAUUUGAUUAAUAUGAUUUUUUGUCUAAUUUUGCACAAACUCUAUUGUCGUUUCACAAAUAAGCUCUGAAUCUACAAGGACCAGAAAUGACUGAUUCUUCAGUUCUUUAAUUAACUGAUAGAAUCUUAACAAGAAUCAAUUGCAGCCAUAAUCCCAGUACCAGCAUAUUAUCACAUCCUCAUAUAGACCUAGGUUAGAAAAAAAAAACAUGUGAAAUGUAUUAAUAUAAACAGGGUAGAUAUAAUAAAAUGAUCAUAAAUGUUCCAGUGUUAAGAACACAACAGAAAAUAAACAUGAUCGUUUGUAAUAGUUUACCAAAAACAAAAUCUAAAAGUCGGUAACAUCCAAAAUGUCUUAGAGAAAAGAAUGCAAUAAAAAUGCUACAAAAGGCUGGGAUUAGCGUGAGAUAGUAUUCAUUCUGCUUUGAACAUUCAUCCAAUAUUUUAGGAAUUAAACACUUUUGGAAUGCAGUUAUUGGUCUUAAGCCUGAUGUGAACUAAAAAAAAACGGUUUGAUGUUUUUAUUAUCAUCAACUGUAUUAACAGUAUUAUACAUUAUUAUCAGAAUGUAUUAACAGUAUCAGAGGGUGAAGAUGUGUAUUGCCUCAGCUUGUCUUUUUAGUCUUUCUUUCAGUGGGCAUUGGAAUCAAUGAUCUUCCAAAUAAAUCUAAGUAUCCAUAUAUAAACGUGGAUCUUUCUUUUCAUAGUGGAUGCGUAUACAUACACCUCCACACACACACAUGUACACAGGGCUAGGGGAGCGAGAGUGACUGCUGGUAUUAAAAGCGAUGUCUCAGCAGCGCUGCACGCAUCGCCUCUAUUCUUGUCGCUCUGACGCCACGCACCGCGUCAUCACGCCAUCGCUCCCUCCUCCGCUACGUUCUCCCUCUCUCCCUCCUUCCAGCUCUCUCUAGUAACUGGCUCGCUCUGCUGCCUCCUCCCCUUGUUCCCUUUCCUCUCUCGCUCUCUCACACACAGCCACACAUGCUUGCUAACACACUUUUUAUACGCUCUCGUCCUUUUUCCCGAACCCCUAUUUAUAGACAUGUAUUUAUGCAAGACAGAGCAGAGGUUGCCCCAGGCAACAGGCCAAGCAUUUCUGGAAAGGAACACCUGUCAGUCUGGAAACUGCUGUUUCCAUUCUGGGAUCUUCCUCUUGCUCUUCUUCUUCUUCCUCUUGUACCAUUUAUUCGAGUAGCUCAGGGUGCUUUUGAGUCUCUGGGUGUCCAUCUUUGUGCACGUGGAUCUUCCUUCUCUCUCUCUCUCUCUCUCUCUCUCUCUCUCUCUCUCUCUGUCUCUGUCUGUCUGUGGCCUGUAGAUCUGGCGUGAGUUAAGCUGUGUCUAGCUGUACACUACACAGUUGUCAGGCCACACACUGAGGAACAUCCUGUCAUCUCCCGGGACAUACACCUCCCACAGAGCAAGAUCACAUCUCUCUAAAUCGUGGUCAUACCAUUACACUUACACCCCAGCAGAGUCUGUACAAUCAGAAUGGGUCAGACAAAUGAAUUUCUCUCUCUCUCUCUCUCUCUCUCUCUCUCUCUCUCUCUCUCAAUCAAAAACACACAUACCCGCACAUGUAGACACUUCAGAGUCCAGGCUAAUGCCUUAGCUACACCAGAACCAGAAAGAGUCACUAACAUGCAGCACAACCUUUAGGUGACCUUGACAAAUCUUCAGAAAUACAACAGCUUUACGCCAGGUAUUAAUUCAAUAAAAUGUAUUUUAGCUACAUUUAUCUGCAAGACCACUAAUGAUUCAGACUGGUUUAGUAUAUUCCAGCCAGAUGAAGGAAAAUGCUGGCUUUCAGCAGAUGACGCGAAUCAGUCUGUCACAAAGCACAGAAAUAAGAGCACUUCCAUUCAUGUACUCCAUAUCCACCCUGAAACACAUUAAAUACUGAUGCUAAUCUGUUGGUUGAUGCUGUAUUUUCAUUAUUCCUGUGAGAAGUUAGUGGAAGUGUGCUGCUCUGAUGUCACAGGGGGGUAUUGUUAUUGCUAAGACAGUUACAAUGGAUUUUAAUAGGAGAAUUUCAUAGGAGAAUCUCAGUCAUAACAAACGAGCAAGAGUUCCUUUUCUCACGCACCAUUUUCCAGCGAUGUUCACCAUCAUAUCAAUGAGGAAAUCGAAUAUAGAAACGUAGAGCCAGUACAAAGGUUUGACUCAAAUGCAAAUAUUCCUGAAUGUUUGGUUUUGGAGUAGAGCUACCAGGCUACUCUUAUUAACAAGUAAAGGAAGCUAUUCGCAGGGAACUCGGGGCACAAGGCACGGGACACCCUGGCCAGGCUGCCAGCCCAUUUAAAGGGCACACAUACAUUCACACACAAUUUGGAAAUGCCAAUCAGCCUAUAACGCAGGUCUUUGGACUGGGGGUGGAAACCGACGUACCCAGAGGAAACCCUCAAAGCACGGGGAGAGCAUGCAAACUCUGUGCAUACAGAGUGGAGGUGGGAUUCCAACCCCCAAGGUGGAGGUACGAGGCAAAUGUGCUAAAUACUAAGCUACCAUGCCCCUCACCAAAGUAUGUUCUGGGGGGAAAACAUGGUUUCAGCUUCAAGGUGUCAGCUACAGCUGUUUUAACUCUGCGAUGUCCUUUUGUGCAGGUUUAAAGAGAGGAGUGUAUCGUACAGUGUUAGAAAUCAUAUAAAGCAACUCUGAAACAGCUUAGUAUGCUUUAAAGUGGCUGUGUGAUGAUUUAGACAUAGUUAGCACAAUGCUAGCUUCCAUUACUUGUUAGCUAGAUUAGCCUAGAUUAUUUUCUUACGUACAAAAACAUUCAGCAUUUUUCUGUCCUCUUUGUUGCAGUUAGCCUGGUUGUUGCUUGAAAGAUGAAAAGUGAAACUUAAUUAAAGUAGUUUGAAUCUUUUGCAUUAAUCAUAGCUGUGCUCCUGAGCAAUUAAUCUGUAUGCCAGAUGUUUGUUCUUACCUUUACAGAAGUUAUUACUGCCCUUUAACAUAGCAUGACGAAUCUUCUUGUAGUGGCUGGAAGAUUAACUAUAUGUAUGACAAAUGUAUAUGCAGUCAGCAUUAUAUGGGAUAUAAUGAAUGUACCACAAAACACCAAAUCAGGAAUCAUAAAAUCUUAAUUAAUUCGAAAUGUAACUAUUUUUCUCCUCAUAAAGGCCAACUGCACUGCAGCUUUGCAAAACUAGAGUUCCUGUGGUGUUCACUGAUUCAGACAUUCAGGAGGGGGGGAAUAAAUAGAUUCCUCCAAACCACCUCCCUCCAUCUGUGUCCACCUUGUCCCAGUCUCAUCCUCCUGUCCCUCCACCCACUCCGUUUUCCCCCUUUAUUGUAGCCGUUGCUGGGCCGCAGUGACAUGGCACAGAGCCUGUUCCUGCCAGCGAGAGUAAUUCGGCGCUGUUCCACCGGGGGCGGCUCCAGGAAUAGAGCCAGAUUUGUAGUGCAGCAUGUGGGGGUGUAUUCAUCAGCCGUGAAGGGAGGGAAAAGGAGUUGGGGGGGCUGUGGAAGUCAUACAUCCAGAGGGACCAGAAGCUAAGGAGGAGGGGGAAAGUUGUGUAAAGAAUCUGCCAAGAUGCAAAUAUAGCUCGGGCUGGCACGUUGAUGUUGAUGAACACAAUACUAGUGAAGUCGUCAGCAGGGCAUAUUUAAACAUGCAAUGCUGAAUGUGUUUGCAAGAAUGGUAAUUGCAUGACAUUUUGAUGAAGAUCGCUGGAAAUGCAUCCCGACGCCUCUACGCUCCGUAAACUUGCAUCACACUCGGAGCUAUUUACCAGUCAGCGCAGUCACUCAAACCCGUGGACGUUUUCUAUAAAUGACCUCUUUCAUUAGCGGGUGUAGAGGGAGUCAGUGCUUACGAAUGAGAACAACAAUAUGGGUAAAAUGUCAGCUUUUUGGGUGUGAAGGCAUCACUUACUGACUAAUGCAUCACUCAAAUUCAAUUUGACUGCUUGCCCCCACAAUGAAUGUUCAGCUGCAUUUGUGAACAGUUUACGUCAACUCUGUGACUAUACUGGAAUUAGACAAACAAGUGUUCAGAGUUCCCAUGUUCAUACACAUAGCUUAAAGCUUUUGAUCAAUACUAGCACCUGUUUCUGGUUUGUUCACACCUGCUCCUAGAUGUUCCGAUUAUUAUUGUCUUAUUAUUCUGCAUAUAGGGUACCAAAGGGCUCUUUUAAGGAAAAUAUAUGACUGAGGUAGCUAAGACCAAUGUAACACAUAGACUCCAAAUACUAAGCUAAUUCUAUUUUUCCCCAAAUUCACUGACAUACAGUAUAUAGUCAAUUUAAGAAAUAUUGGCAUCCUUGAUAAAUAUGGGCAAAAAUGUUCAUACUGAAUUACUUUCACCUGAUUGUUUAGGAGCUCCUAUGCUUGCUAUGUCCUUGACGUCUUGUUUUACUGAGGUGACACAGAGGCGCAAUUUCCUUAGUCAUCCAUCAGCAUGGGGAAUAUUAGCGGAUACACAAUAUGCCCUGACUAUUUAUAAAAUGCUACGUGCCUGAAAAUGCCCAUAUUCAUUGAUAGGGAAAGAAAUUAAAACAAUUACUGUACUGUAAUGAACGUGCCUGGAAGAGGAUGAAUGUGUAUUUUGCCUGUAUGCACACCGAGGAUGGUUUGAUAGGUAAAAAUUUCUGCAAGAAUCUUGGUUUGCAGAAGAUAGUAAAAUUAUGGGGACAUCAAGUCUCAAAUUCUACAAUUAGAUGCCAUUUCAUUGGCAACAAACUAUUUGGAAUAUGAAAAUUAACAUAUUUUAAAAAAAACAACACAUGCAUUCAGUGAUAUUUUGAGUUCAAAUGCAGAGAGAUAUUGUAUAGUUUUAUUUUAAACAUGUGUAAUUGUAAUAUUAACAAUAAUAUCUUUGCUAUUAAUAUUUUUAUGCCUGCCCUGGAGAGAAUAACAUCACUAAAUCACUUCCUGUAAUGUCUUGGUCCAUUCCUCUAUGCAGAACAUUUUAGGCUCCCGUAUAGUCUUAGGUUUGUUUGUGGAUGUCCCUCUUCAAUUAAUUUCCAAACAGGUUUUUAUUAUGACAGGGGCAUUUCCUGAAACGUGACAAACACAAGAAUCAUCUCAACUGUACCAUUCUAAACCUGUGGUCUUUGGACUCUUUAUUCCCUCCUCUCAGUGUGUGGGAGUACAGUGCUCAUUGGUUCAAUUCCUGGCACGUAUUCAACUGUUUUUACAGAAGUAUUUUCAUCUGCUUCUGUAUUUUUUUUUAGAUCCAUUACCUCAUCUGCGAAGGUCAACAACCAUCUUUCUGUUUUGUUUUGGAAGAUCUUUGGUUUUCCUAUGGUAAUGGAUGACGGAGAUUUUAAAUGUGGGCAACCUUGAAUUUAUGUAUCUGUUCAUUCAUCUUUACUUUAUCCAGAUCAGGGUCACGGUGGAUCUGGACCAUUAUAUGCCACCCUGGGCAUAAGGCAGGAGAAUUCAUCACGGAUGGGAUGCCAGUCCGUUUCAGGGCACCGUACACACUCUGGAGAACCCAGAGGAAACCCACAUGGACACAGGGAAAACAUGUGAUGCUCCACAUAGUCAGUAACCUGGUCUCAGGAUCGAACGAGGGAUGUUAGAGCUGUGAGGCGGCAAUGCUACCUGCUGCACCAUCCACCUCAAAUUUAUACCUCAGUGUAACUGCAUUGUCCUGGUCAGGGUGGUGGUGGAUCCGGAGCCUAUCCCAGGAACACUGGGCACGAGGCAGGAAUACACCCUGAAUGGACUGCCAGUCCACUAAAGAAAGACCAGGCCUUCGCUCCUUUCUAAAUGGGUUGGAGAGAAGCAAAAAGCACAGAUGACAACAGGAACCACCGGGUGAUGCUGAUGAAGAGACAAUUUGUUUUCCACAUGAUGUCUACCCCUCCGUCUUUCCCUUCCACCUGUUCCCUCUGCAUUUCUCGCUCUCUUCUCUCACAUCCUCCUCCAGGAAAAUUGGGCAAGCAUUGCAUAAGCGCUGGAGGAGUGGUGGGGGUGACGGACGUGGAGAACUGAAGAGAAGGUGGGGGUUGAGGCAGAGUGGAAAUUGAUGGAAAUGCAAAGAGGAGGAUGGGAAAGCAUGCCCUUUCUCCCCCUCAUUCUCCCUCUCCGGUGCUGUCUGGCAUGCGUCCUGCUGAAAGUAGGCUAUGUUUGACGCGCUUGAGGGUAAGGCUGAGUCACAAUACGCCACUGAAUACUAAACCCACUGAUUGCAUUGGACUAAGGCUUUAGCCUGCAUCAUUGCAAUAUCUUGCAUGAUACAAUAUCAGUCCAUCAUCCUCAUCAUCUUCUCCACAAGAUGUGGUGCCAGUGACGGCAGGAUUAGCAAAGACAAUUGGAGGUGGUGUUGAAUAAAUAACUAAGUAUGCUUAAUCUAGGUAUGUUUCAUUACGAUUAAUGGCAAAAGUAUGUUUGGUAUCCAAAAUGACUCAUUUUAUUUCCUUAAAAACUGCGAGUUUGGAUAUGAGAAUGUGGAAUUCAGUGCUCUCUUCGACAAUACAGGCCAAUAUCAAAGUCCUGCACAGUUUCCUGUUUCUCUGUUACUUCCUCAAACACUUGGACGGUGACGUUCCUGGAGGGGGGAAAAAGAGCGUAAUGGAGAAGUAUACAAGCACACUUCAUUGCAUAUGAACUCAACUGAGCAAUAUAUUCAUUAACAUGAUUUACAUCAUGGUCAGUUACAACCCGUGGUAAGAAUGGAUAGGUUUUAUGAAGGGAAUACCACUUUUCUUUUGUCUUUUGUUAAAGAAAAACUUAGUAUUACUGGUACUAUUUGGACUGUCAAUUAAAAUUUGCUUUGAUUUAAAGAACUUGACCAUUCAUUUUGCUCAUAAUCUUUUUUUAUAUAUUUUUUAAUUAUUUGUACAGGUUAAAAAGGGAGGAAAAGGUGGCAAUUACAUUGCAAUAAACAUUGGUAUCUAGCUAAAACUAAUCCAAGCCAGCUUUUCAACAAGAUGGAUUUCAAGAAGGCAGAUAAAAGAAAAGAAAGAAAGAAGUAGGCUAUACUUGCUUAUAUACUGUGAUCUCCU
ensembl:lncRNA